rnacentral:lncRNA from 1 species
GGGAACUGCAUCCCCCCCAGUGUACCCCAGGUGUCCGGCCUUCCUACUUCCUUGUGUGGAAUUGUUCUCGAAUUGGACCAAUCCCGAGCUAGGGAGGGGCCACGCCCCUAUACUUCCAGGUGCAGGAUUGGUCUAUGCAAGGACCAAUCCCGUGCCUGGGAGGUGACUAUUUCAAAGGAGUUUUUAAAGUCUGGGAGAGGGUAGUCAGUUUCAGGAUGCUGGAGCUCUGGUUUUCUUUCAGUUGAAGUUUUACAGUUUAAAAAAGAAAGAGCUUUAAUUUUGCUCAUUUCAAAUGCAAACAAGAAAAAGCAUGGUGAGGUGGAAAGAUUACUGGACUAGAAAAGAGACCUAAAUUCAUGUCCUACUUCUGGCAUUUAGUUGCUCUGAGACUUUGGUGCACUCAAGAAACAUCUUCUCUUAAAUCUGAAUCCUGGAAUCCCAGAUACAAGGUUAUAGAGCUUGAAGAGAUUCAAAGUGAUCCAGCCUUCUGCCUUCUGCCUUCAGUUCUUCUCUGUUCCUGGAGCAGAGGGUGCACUUUUCCAAGCCUGAAGAGUUCUCUUCUAUGGAACGUGGGGUAAACCUGGCUACCCAUGCUCUUCACAAGGAAAGUAUGGUCAUUCAACAAAAUAGAAGAAUUCUAAGAAUUUGUAAAGAAAAGACCAGACCUGAACAGAAAAUUUGUUGUCCAAGCACAGAACUCAAGAGAACCAUCAAAAGCUCCAGCUCCAAGCGUUGGUUUAAGUGUCUGACUGGCUGUGAGAUAAUCCAGCGCUUGCCCAACAUUAAAUGCUCCAGAGAAAGGAGAGAGAGGCUCAAGUCUGGCAAGAGAGAGAACUUGCUCUGUCCCUUCUUUUAUAAAGACAGUUUUCAGCUCUCCUCCUGGGACUCUGAUUGGACAAGCUUCACCUCAGUCUGGGUCUUGACUUCUUUCACCACCUGUUGCAUGAGGAAUUCCUCCUCUCUCUUCAGUAUACCAAGACACUGUGAAGCCUCUGCCAUCCUGCCAUAGUAAGCAUGCCUGGCCAGUCAAAAGAAAUAGCUGAUAGCAACCAAGAGUGGGUUUUCAAAUGGAAUAAGUGGGUAUAAUUUUAAUAAAUUCAUAUAAUACAAUAACA